rnacentral:rRNA from 1 species
CAGUAGCCACGGUAAUACGAAGGUCCCGAGCGUUGUUCGGAAUCACUGGGCGUAAAGGGAGCGUAGGCGGCGUGGUAAGUCAGAUGUGAAAUCCCGGGGCUCAACCCCGGAACUGCAUCCGAUACUGCCAUGCUAGAGGAUUGGAGAGGUAGCUGGAAUUCUUGGUGUAGCAGUGAAAUGCGUGGAGAUCAAGAGGAACACUCGUGGCGAAAGCGAGCUACUGGACAAUAACUGACGCUGAGGCUCGAAGGCCAGGGUAGCGAAAGGGAUUAGAUACCCCUGUAGUCCCUGUCUCUUAUAC